UCUCUGCAGACAGUGAGCAUGCACCCUUCCCCAGGACACACCUCAGCCAGACCUCCUCCUGGUCUGCAUAGGGAUUUCGGUGGAGGGUGGGCCUGGGGAGCACCAGGGAAAGGGAGGGACAGCCAAGCUAAGCCCUGAGUGCCAGGUUCAUGGAGAGCUGAAUGAGUAUGGGGCAGAUCCUCGAGUUUUCUUUUCAGCAGUGCCUAAUGAGUUGGAGGAAUGGGAAAGUCGUUCCCAGCCAAGCCGAUAUCCUAUGAGUUAUAAAUGACAUUUCAUCCUCAUAUGCAGAUUUCCUGCACCGAAGUGAAUUAUUUACAAGGUAGAGCUUGUGGGUUCCAACAAUCAGCAGCCUGAGAUUUACACCCACACUCCAGUUUCAGCUCUCCUGCUGCGGGAAUGUGAAGUUUCCCACUGCCCUGUAAGAUCUGAAGAUUUAACAGGAACAGGCACUCCCUUCUCUGGAAGCAGAAACCAGAACAGUAAAUGAAGCCAUUCCAAGACUGGCUUCUUCCCCUCUCCGAAGAGGAUGCUAUCUGCAUGGAAACGCAAAUGAGGUGCAUGAAGGAGAACUUAAAUUCUGGGAGACCUUUCUGCCCCAUUAGGAGUGAUUUGGUAACCUGGAGUUUCACUUAAUUAGUAUAAUAAUUUCCCCCAGAAUAUGUGAGAAUCUGAAGUCUCUCUUAACAAAAGCACUGCAGUGAGCUCUACCUUCUGGGGAACAGGAGGGGGUUGGGUUGACAGGCCUCCCAACCACCAAUAAGGAUGCCAGAAAUACACGGGUCCUGAACCAGACAAAUCCACCCAUGGGACUAAAAGAUGGCUCCAAAAUCAAUUUGAGGAUAUUUACGUCUGCAAUCUAUGAUCAAGGUGGCCCUUCCAAUUAGUGCAGAAAGAGUUUUGUAAAAAUAACUAGGCUGGAAACAAUUGACUACCCAUUUGGAAAAAAAUUAACACCCCUAUUUUAUACCACAAACAAAAAUAUAUUCUUGUUAAAUCAAAGGCCUAAAUGUAAAAAGUAGGACCAAAGGAGCAUUGAAAGAAAAGAUAGGAGAAUAUUUGUGUGAUCUCACAAUGCGAGUAAACAAAAUGAAACAAAUGGAUAACAUGACCUAUAACCUUUUUCCCCAAUGAAAACCAGACUGCACAAAAUUAAAAGACAAGUGACAGACCGUGGAGGGGAAGCGUUGACAUCUAAGUAUUACUAUCUCAUAUUCAAGUAAAUCCAGCAGAUCAAAGAGAAAUGACCAGUCCCUCAAAGGGACAAGGAGUACAUGCAGGCGGGAAUUAGUACGAGCAGUAAAUGUCUACGAGAAGAUGCUCAAACACAUUUCUGAUUAAGGGAUGUGGAAGUGACAAUAAAAUACCCUUUUCUGAA